GUGCCUAACACAUGCAAGUCGAACGUCCUCUGUCUCUUCGGAGGCAGAGGGAGUGGCGGACGGGUGAGUAACACAUGGGUGACCUACCCCCAGGUGAGGGAUACCGGCGAGAAAUCGCCGACAAGCCCGCAUAGGCUCGUUCUGGUAGAGCGGAGCGAGCAAAGUGUCUUGAGAGAGAGACGCCCGGGGAUGGGCCUGUGGCCGAUUAGCUGGUUGGUGGGGUAACGGCCCACCAAGGCUGCGAUCGGUAGCUGGUCUGAGAGGACGAACAGCCACACUGGGAUUGAGAACGGCCCAG
rnacentral:rRNA from 1 species